UACGGGGGGGAGCAAGCGUUGUCCGGAUUUACUGGGCGUAAAGAGCGCGCAGGCGGUCGAUCAAGUCGAGUGUGAAAGCCCCCCGGCUCAACUGGGGAGGGUCAUUCGAUACUGAUCGACUCGAAGGCAGGAGAGGGUAGUGGAAUUCCCGGUGUAGUGGUGAAAUUCGUAGAUAUUCGGAAGAACACCAGUGGCGAAGGCGGCUCACUGGUCCGGUACUGACGCUGAGGUGCGAAAGCGUGGGGAGCAAACAGG
rnacentral:rRNA from 1 species